rnacentral:hammerhead_ribozyme from 1 species
AUCCAGCUGACGAGUCCCAAAUAAGACGAAAGACGCAUCAAACUGGAU